CCCAGUAGGACUUCUGAGAUACCUCAACUAUCCCCAACUGGUUUAGAUGUGAGAAAAUAAGCUGCCCAACAACAAAUGAAGAUGUAUUUUGGGGCCUGUUUGACAGACAGGGUUGGAAAUGCUGCCACUUCAUUGCUGCCAUAGUGGAACAGCUUGUCACGGCGCAUAAUUUCUUCUUCUCUGAAAGCCUGGCCCAAGAUCUGCACACUGCCCCCCCCCCCCAACUGCUUUUGUUUAAGACUCAACCAUGGCCACCAAGCAAGCCAAAAUGUAUAGUCACUUUGAGUGUCUGCCCGAAUGAUAAUUGUUGCGGUGUCCUCGGGUGACAUCUGAAGUGCUGGACAGUUGACAAGAGACAGCGCAGUGGAGUCUCUGCCAGUUGUCCCGUCUCCCAGACUCUCACGUCGCUUCCUGGGACAAUGCCAUGUUUUU
rnacentral:lncRNA from 1 species